GCAUUACGCCGUCGUCAAGCUCGCCAGGACAACGCAGCAGCAGCAGCAGGGCCACGCGA
rnacentral:SRP_RNA from 1 species